CCUACGGGAGGCAGCAGUGGGGAAUAUUGGGCAAUGGAGGAAACUCUGACCCAGCGACGCCGCGUGCGGGAUGAAGGCCUUCGGGUUGUAAACCGCUUUCAGUAGGGAAGAAGCGAAAGUGACGGUACCUACAAAAGAAGCACCGGCUAACUAUGUGCCAGCAGCCGCGGUAAUACAUAGGGUGCAAGCGUUGUCCGGAAUUAUUGGGCGUAAAGAGCUCGUAGGUCGUUUGUUACGUCGGAUGUGAAAACCUGAGGCUCAACCUCAGGCCUGCAUUCGAUACGGGCAAACUAGAGUUUGGUAGGGGAGACUGGAAUUCCUGGUGUAGCGGUGGAAUGCGCAGAUAUCAGGAGGAACACCAAUGGCGAAGGCAGGUCUCUGGGCCAAUACUGACACUGAGGAGCGAAAGUCUGGGGAGCGAACAGGAUUAGAUACCCUGGUAGUCCAGACCGUAAACGGUGGGCACUAGUUGUGGGAACCUUCACGGUUUCUGCGACGCAGCUAACGCAUUAAGUGCCCCGCUGGGGAGUACGAUCGCAAGNUAAAACUCAAAGGAUUGACGGCNGAGAGNGCGACGACGACGACGAGGAGAG
rnacentral:rRNA from 1 species